GAUGCUAAUACCGGAUAACAAACAGAUGAUGCCUAUCAACUGUUUAAAAGAUGGUUCUGCUAUCACUCUUGGAUGGACCUGCGGUGCAUUAGCUAGUUGGUAGGGUAACGGCCUACCAAGGCGAUGAUGCAUAGCCGAGUUGAGAGACUGAUCGGCCACAUUGGGACUGAGACACGGCCCAAACUCCUACGGGAGGCAGCAGGC
rnacentral:rRNA from 1 species